rnacentral:lncRNA from 1 species
GCGCAGCGCGCGCCAAGCCGAGGCACUGCCGCUUUAAGCUCACUUGCCCAUUGUUCGGAAUUGAGCCAAUGAGAAAACGCCCGCUCCCUGUACUCAACCAAUAGCGUUGGGGCUCGGGUGGUUGAGCACCGCCCACUAAUCUAUAUUAAAGCUUCUGGCGCCGCGUGAGUCCCCCACUGGCUGCUCCGAAAAGCCAUCUUUGCAUUGUUCCCGGGUCGUGCUCCGCGCUCACUGCAGCCACCUUCGCCGCCCACCGUCUCCUCCAACGCGGACUCCGGCAGCUUUCUCGCCAGAGUCCUCGAAACUCGACUAAUUCCUUACGCGUAGCACCAGACCACCGGCGUGCCCCACCAUGUCAGACGCGGCAGUGGACACCAGCUCCGAGAUCACCACCAAGGACUUGAAGGAGAAGAAGGAAGUUGUGGAGGAGGCAGAGAAUGGAAGAGACGCACCUGCCAAUGGGAACGCUCAAAAUGAGGAAAAUGGGGAGCAGGAGGCUGACAAUGAGGUAGAUGAAGAAGAGGAAGAAGGUGGGGAGGAAGAGGAGGAGGAGGAAGAAGGUGAUGGUGAGGAAGAAGAUGGAGAUGAAGAUGAGGAAGCUGAGGCUCCUACGGGCAAGCGGGUAGCUGAGGAUGAUGAGGUAGGUUUGAGGUGUGAGGUACCUACCUUCUCCUGAGGUGGACAAGCGCUGUCUGGGGUUUCUUGCAAAUGGUGAGAAAGGUUCUUAGUGGGACCUUCCCAGCACAGCAAAGCUGGGUUGGAAGGGCCUAGGUUUCUGGGCCUAGGCCGCCUGCUGAGCUGACCUGUAGUGACAGGACUGAUGUCAUUCUCUGCAGGAUGAUGAUGUUGAGACCAAGAAGCAGAAGAAGACUGAUGAGGAUGACUAGACAGCAAAAGGAAAAGCUAACCUUACGCACCGUGACCUAUUCACCCUCCACUUCCCGUCUCAGAAUUUAAACGUGGUCACCUUCGAGU